GCCCGGGUGGCGGAAUUGGUAGACGCUGCGGACUUAAAAUCCGCUGAACGAAAGUUCGUGCCGGUUCGAGUCCGGCCCUGGGCACCA
rnacentral:tRNA from 1 species